GCAAGUCGAACGGUAACAUGGAAGCUUGCUUCUGAUGACGAGUGGCGCACGGGUGAGUAACGCGUACACAACCUACCUUUAAGAGGGGGAUAGCCUUGGGAAACUGAGAAUAAUACCCCAUGUGAUUGUAAUGUUGAUAAUUUUACAAUUAAAGGAUUCGUCCGUUUAGAGAUGGGUGUGCGUACCAUUAGGUAGUUGGUAAGGUAACGGCUUACCAAGCCGACGAUGGUUAGGGGGCGUGAGAGCGUGAUC
rnacentral:rRNA from 1 species